rnacentral:rRNA from 1 species
UGCGCCUUGCCAGCCCGCUCAGAAACUUAAAGGAAUUGACGGGGCCCGCACAAGCGGAGGAGCAUGUGGUUUAAUUCGAUGAUACGCGAGGAACCUUACCUGGGCUCGAACGUAAGAUGACUGUAGGUGAAAGCUUACAUCUCUUCGGAGCAUUUUACGAGGUGCUGCAUGGUUGUCGUCAGCUCGUGCCGUGAGGUGUCGGGUUAAGUCCCAUAACGAGCGCAACCCCUACCUUUAGUUGCCAUCAGGUUAAGCUGGGGACUCUAAAGGAACUGCCUACGCAAGUAGUGAGGAAGGCGGGGAUGACGUCAAAUCAGCACGGCCCUUACGUCCAGGGCUACACACGUGCUACAAUGGCCGAUACAGAGGGCAGCUACCUGGUGACAGGAUGCAAAUCUCCAAAGUCGGUCUCAGUUCGGAUCGGAGUCUGCAACCCGACUCCGUGAAGUCGGAAUCGCUAGUAAUCGUGAAUCAGAAUGUCACGGUGAAUACGUUCCCGGGCCUU